ACGGAGGGUGCAAGCGUUAAUCGGAAUUACUGGGCGUAAAGCGCGCGUAGGCGGUUUGGUAAGUGUGAUGUGAAAGCCCCGGGCUUAACCUGGGAACUGCAUCCCAUACUGCCAGGCUAGAGUACGAUAGAGGGGGGUAGAAUUCCACGUGUAGCGGUGAAAUGCGUAGAGAUGUGGAGGAAUAUCAGUGGCGAAGGCGGCCCCCUGGAUUGAUACUGACGCUGAGGUGCGAAAGCGUGGGGAGCAAACAGG
rnacentral:rRNA from 1 species